rnacentral:rRNA from 1 species
AGAACGAACGCUGGCGGCAGGCUUAACACAUGCAAGUCGAACGCUCCGCAAGGGGAGUGGCAGACGGGUGAGUAACGCGUGGGAACAUACCCCUCGGUUCGGAAUAACUCAGGGAAACUUGAGCUAAUACCGAAUACGGUCGAGAGGCGAAAGAUUUAUCGCCGAGGGAUUGGCCCGCGUCCGAUUAGCUAGUUGGUGAGGUAAUGGCUCACCAAGGCGACGAUCGGUAGCUGGUCUGAGAGGAUGAUCAGCCACAUUGGGACUGAGACACGGCCCAAACUCCUACGGGAGGCAGCAGUGGGGAAUAUUGGACAAUGGGCGAAAGCCUGAUCCAGCCAUGCCGCGUGAGUGAUGACGGCCUUAGGGUUGUAAAGCUCUUUCAUCAGGGACGAUAAUGACGGUACCUGAAGAAGAAGCCCCGGCUAACUUCGUGCCAGCAGCCGC